rnacentral:rRNA from 1 species
AGUGAACGCUGGCGGUAGGCCUAACACAUGCAAGUCGAACGGCAGCACAGUAAGAGCUUGCUCUUACGGGUGGCGAGUGGCGGACGGGUGAGGAAUACAUCGGAAUCUACUUUUUCGUGGGGGAUAACGCAGGGAAACUUACGCUAAUACCGCAUACGACCUACGGGGGAAAGCAGGGGAUCUUCGGACCUUGCGCGAUUGAAUUAGCCGAUGUCGGAUUAGCUAGUUGGCGGGGUAAAGGCCCACCAAGGCGACGAUCCGUAGCUGGUCUGAGAGGAUGAUCAGCCACACUGGAACUGAGACACGGUCCAGACUCCUACGGGAGGCAGCAGUGGGGAAUAUUGGACAAUGGGCGAAAGCCUGAUCCAGCCAUGCCGCGUGUGUGAAGAAGGUCUUCGGGUUGUAAAGCCCUUUUGUUGGGAAAGAAAGGCAGCAGGUUAAUACCCCGCUGUUCUGACGGUACCCAAAGAAUAAGCACCGGCUAACUUCGUG